AUGGAGUCGGUCGAUCAAUGCGCCGCCAUCGACGACGACGGUGGCGCCAGAGGCUUAGGAGAUGGAGACGCAGUCGGCGGCGGUGGCGGUAAUCAUCCUGAUGCCGUCGAUGUGGUUGGUUCCGAAGGGAAGUGUGCGUCCGAUGGAGGCAGUGGCAGCGGCACGGCGGGGAUAGUAGGUGGUGAGCCCGUCGUCGGCACUGGCAUAGAUGCUGGUGUGGCCGAUUUGCUUCCUCGCCGUCGAUUUCCCUGGGACAAAGCGCCUUUAUAUGGUGAUGAUUCCGAACAAUUUAGUGUGGAAAUUCACCAUAAUGGAUGGUUCUGUGGUGUUGGCAUUAAUCGUAGCUACAUGGAGGAACAAGUUGACACAUUUGAUGGCUGCCAUAGGAAAACUUUCUGA
rnacentral:rRNA from 1 species